CGUACACUCCUGCGGGAGGCAGCAGUGGGGAAUAUUGGACAAUGGGCGCAAGCCUGAUCCAGCCAUGCCGCGUGAGUGAUGAAGGCCCUAGGGUUGUAAAGCUCUUUCACCGGUGAAGAUAAUGACGGUAACCGGAGAAGAAGCCCCGGCUAACUUCGUGCCAGCAGCCGCGGUAAUACGAAGGGGGCUAGCGUUGUUCGGAUUUACUGGGCGUAAAGCGCACGUAGGCGGACUAUUAAGUCAGGGGUGAAAUCCCGGGGCUCAACCCCGGAACUGCCUUUGAUACUGGUAGUCUUGAGUUCGAGAGAGGUGAGUGGAAUUCCGGGUGUAGAGGUGAAAUUCGUAGAUAUUCGGAGGAACACCAGUGGCGAAGGCGGCUCACUGGCUCGAUACUGACGCUGAGGUGCGAAAGCGUGGGGAGCAAACAGGAUUAGAUACCCUUGUAGUCCCAUG
rnacentral:rRNA from 1 species